rfam:Triticum urartu cultivar G1812 contig82368, whole genome shotgun sequence.
GUUAUACUCCCUCCGUCCGAAAAUACUUGUCAUAGAAAUGGAUACAAAUGGAUGUAUCUAGAACUAAAAUACAUCUAGAUACAUCCAUUCCUCGGACAAGUAUUUCCGGACGGAGGGAGUACAUG